rnacentral:tRNA from 1 species
GCCGAUGUAACUCAGUUGGUAGAGUAACUCCAUGGUAAGGAGUAAGUCCGCGGUUCAAAUCCGCGCAUCGGCU